GCGGUGGGGAUUAGUGGCGAACGGGUGAGUAACACGUGGGCAAUCUGCCCUUCACUCUGGGACAAGCCCUGGAAACGGGGUCUAAUACCGGAUACGAGCCUCCAAGGCAUCUUGGGGGUUGGAAAGCUCCGGCGGUGAAGGAUGAGCCCGCGGCCUAUCAGCUUGUUGGUGAGGUAAUGGCUCACCAAGGCGACGACGGGUAGCCGGCCUGAGAGGGCGACCGGCCACACUGGGACUGAGACACGGCCCAGACUCCUACGGGAGGCAGCAGUGGGGAAUAUUGCACAAUGGGCGAAAGCCUGAUGCAGCGACGCCGCGUGAGGGAUGACGGCCUUCGGGUUGUAAACCUCUUUCAGCAGGGAAGAAGCGAAAGUGACGGUACCUGCAGAAGAAGCGCCGGCUAACUACGUGCCAGCAGCCGCGGUAAUACGUAGGGCGCAAGCGUUGUCCGGAAUUAUUGGGCGUAAAGAGCUCGUAGGCGGCUUGUCACGUCGAUUGUGAAAGCCCGAGGCUUAACCUCGGGUCUGCAGUCGAUACGGGCUAGCUAGAGUGUGGUAGGGGAGAUCGGAAUUCCUGGUGUAGCGGUGAAAUGCGCAGAUA
rnacentral:rRNA from 1 species